rnacentral:rRNA from 1 species
AUGGCCACCGGCGGCAACCCCAAUCCCAACGCCAACCCCGGCCAGCCACGCCCGCAGCAGCAGCCGCCGGGAAGCUCUCCGGCGACCCCGCAUAACCACAUGCGCCCCCCCACUCUCGGCGGUUCCCCCUUUCAGGGUCUUUUCCACACCCCGCCUAGCCACAAUCCUGCUUUCCAGAUUCACAUGGGCGCAGCCUCCUCUCCCCAGACCCCACUAAUGGCCGCGGCCGCGGCCGCGGCCUCCGCCGCCGCAUCGGCCAAGCGCCCUCCCCAGAAGCCCCCUUCGCGUCCGCCGGCACCCACCUCCAACGCCGCCGCAGCGUCCAUGGCCGCCGCUUAUAAGGCUGCUAACUCCGGCAGCGUCGACCUCACCCCCGCUGCGCGCCGCAACAAGAAGCGCAAACUCCCGGAGAAGCAGCUCCCGGACCGCGUCGCCGCGCUGUUGCCAGAGUCCGCGCUCUACACGCAGCUCCUCGAGUUCGAGGCCCGCGUAGACGCAGCGCUCGCGCGCAAGAAGGUGGACAUUCAGGAGGCGCUCAAGACACCACCGUCCCUCCAGCGCACGCUCCGCAUCUACGUCUUCAACACCUUCGCCAACCAGGCGCCCCGCACCAUCCCGCCGCCCAAGAAUGGCGAUCCGCCCACCUGGUCGCUCAAGAUCAUUGGCCGUGUGCUUGAAGACGGCGCGGAGCUGGACCCAGCCAGUGUCGUGCCGAAGCACAACCCAGUGUAUCCGAAAUUCUCCUCGUUCUUUAAGAGGGUGACUAUUGCUCUUGAUUCGUCACUCUACCCAGAGAACCCACUGAUCGUUUGGGAGAAUGCCCGGUCUGCUGCGCCUCAGGAAGGGUUUGAGGUGAAGAGGAAAGGGGAUAAGGAGUUUCUUGCCAAUAUCCGUCUGGAGAUGAAUUAUAACCCUGAGAAGUUCAAGCUGUCACAGCCACUGAUGGAGGUGCUUGGGGUCGAGGUGGACACUCGUGCAAGGGUGAUUGCAGCCCUUUGGCAGUACAUCAAGGCAAAGAAGCUACAGAAUCCAAGCGACCCUUCGUACUUUAUGUGUGACCCCCAACUGAAGAAGGUAUUUGGGGAGGAUAAAAUGAGGUUUGCUAUGCUGUCUCAGAAGAUAUCGCAACAUCUUGCUCCUCCACCGCCCAUCAACUUGGAACAUAAGAUCAAGCUAUCAGGGAAUGGAGCAAACUCGAGUGCUUGCUAUGAUGUAUUGGUAGAUGUUCCUUUCCCACUGCAGAAGGAGAUGACAGCAUUUCUUGCCAAUACUGAGAAGCACAAGGACAUUGAGGCAUGUGAUGAGGUGAUAUCUGCUUCAAUCAAGAAGAUCCAUGAGCAUCGUAGGAGGAGGGCGUUCUUCCUUGGGUUCAGCCAGUCUCCAGUGGAGUUCAUUAAUGCGUUGAUAGCAUCCCAGAGUAAAGAUUUGAAGCUUGUUGCUGGUGAAGCGAGUAGGAAUAUUGAAAGGGAAAGGCGUGCAGACUUCUAUAACCAGCCAUGGGUUGAGGAUGCUGUUAUAAGAUAUUUGAAUCGUAAACCGCCUGGUGGCAACGAUGGCCCUGGUGCUGGUGGUUCUUGA